rnacentral:rRNA from 1 species
AGAGUUUGAUCCUGGCUCAGAUUGAACGCUGGCGGCAGGCCUAACACAUGCAAGUCGAGCGCGAAAGGCCUUCGGGCUGAGUAGAGCGGCGGACGGGUGAGUAACGCGUAGGAAUCUACCCGGUAGUGGGGGACAACUCGGGGAAACUCGAGCUAAUACCGCAUACGCCCUGAGGGGGAAAGCGGGGGAUCUUCGGACCUCGCGCUAUCGGAUGAGCCUGCGUUGGAUUAGCUUGUUGGUGGGGUAAAGGCCUACUAAGGCGACGAUCCAUAGCUGGUCUGAGAGGAUGAUCAGCCACACCGGGACUGAGACACGGCCCGGACUCCUACGGGAGGCAGCAGUGGGGAAUAUUGCGCAAUGGGCGGAAGCCUGACGCAGCCAUGCCGCGUGUGUGAAGAAGGCCUUCGGGUUGUAAAGCACUUUCACUUGGGAAGAAACGCUGUCGGUUAAUACCCGCCAGUUUUGACAUUACCUUGAGAAGAAGCACCGGCUAACUCCGUGCCAGCAGCCGCGGUAAUACGGAGGGUGCAAGCGUUAAUCGGAAUUACUGGGCGUAAAGCGCGCGUAGGCGGUUUGUUAAGUCGGAUGUGAAAGCCCCGGGCUCAACCUGGGAAUUGCACCCGAUACUGGCCGACUGGAGUGCGAGAGAGGGAGGUAGAAUUCCACGUGUAGC